CACUCCUACGGGAGGCAGCAGUGGGGAAUUUUGGACAAUGGGCGAAAGCCUGAUCCAGCAAUGCCGCGUGAGUGAAGAAGGCCUUCGGGUUGUAAAGCUCUUUUGUCAGGGAAGAAACGGUGAGAGCUAAUAUCUUUUGCUAAUGACGGUACCUGAAGAAUAAGCACCGGCUAACUACGUGCCAGCAGCCGCGGUAAUACGUAGGGUGCAAGCGUUAAUCGGAAUUACUGGGCGUAAAGCGUGCGCAGGCGGUUUUGUAAGUCUGAUGUGAAAUCCCCGGGCUCAACCUGGGAAUUGCAUUGGAGACUGCAAGGCUAGAAUCUGGCAGAGGGGGGUAGAAUUCCACGUGUAGCAGUGAAAUGCGUAGAUAUGUGGAGGAACACCGAUGGCGAAGGCAGCCCCCUGGGUCAAGAUUGACGCUCAUGCACGAAAGCGUGGGGAGCAAACAGGAUUAGAUACCCCAGUAGUCACA
rnacentral:rRNA from 1 species